UACGUAGGGUGCGAGCGUUAAUCGGAAUUACUGGGCGUAAAGCGUGCGCAGGCGGUAAUGUAAGACAGGUGUGAAAUCCCCGGGCUUAACCUGGGAACUGCAUUUGUGACUGCAUUGCUGGAGUGCGGCAGAGGGGGAUGGAAUUCCGCGUGUAGCAGUGAAAUGCGUAGAGAUGUGGAGGAACACCUGUGGCGAAGGCGCCUUGCUGGCCGAUUUCUGACGCUGAGGCGCGAAAGCGUGGGGAGCAAACAGG
rnacentral:rRNA from 1 species